rnacentral:rRNA from 1 species
AUUGAACGCUGGCGGCAUGCUUUACACAUGCAAGUCGAACGGUAACAGGCCUUCGGGUGCUGACGAGUGGCGAACGGGUGAGUAAUGCAUCGGAACGUACCCAGAGGUGGGGGAUAACGCAGCGAAAGCUGUGCUAAUACCGCAUGUGAUCUGAGGAUGAAAGCGGGGGACCGAGCAGCAAUGUUUGGCCUCGCGCCUUUGGAGCGGCCGAUGUCGGAUUAGCUAGUUGGUGGGGUAAAGGCCUACCAAGGCGACGAUCCGUAGCUGGUCUGAGAGGACGGCCCGCCCAACUGGACCUGAGCCACGGCCCAGACUCCUACGGGGGGCAGGAGGGGGGAAUUUUGGACAAUGGGCGCAACCCUGACCCAGCAAGGCCGCGGGCGGGAAGAAGGCCUUCGGGUUGUAAACCGCUUUUGGCAGGAACGAAACGGUGUCCGCUAAUACCGGGCGCUAAUGACGGUACCUGCAAAAAAAGCACCGGCUAACUCCGU